AAGUCGUAACAAGGUUUCCGUAGGUGAACCUGCGGAAGGAUCAUUAAGGGAGAUAUUGGGGCUCCGUCCCCGCCCCUCCCAUCCCUGAUUACAAGAGGCCCUAAUCUACUUUGGCGGGCCCGCCGGAACGGUCCGUUGCGGCCGGCUGGCGCCCCGCCGGGAGACCCCACAAACCCUAUUUCAACGUGGCAUUGUCUGAGCGAGCGGUAAUCGAAUCAAAA
rnacentral:misc_RNA from 1 species